UGUUGCCUGCUUAUCUUCCAGAGAUUUCUGAAAGUGAUAGGUUUUCAUAAGUAGUUGGCAGCAGAUAAAUAGUAAAACACCAUGAAGUCUGCCAGAAAAGAGGCUAGCCCUUCAAUCCUUGAGGAAAUGGAAGAGGACUUCAGCAGUUCCCAAGGCUCAUCAUGAGGAAAACCAAGAGCAACAGGCAACACUCCUUUGGAAGAUGUUUUGUUCUAGCAGAGAAGAAGGGGGAAUAUGGGGAAGUGAGUAGGGGUGAGGAAAAAAAUAAUGAAAAGAAGGAAAAAACACACACUACAAAGUAAAUUGUGAAGACAGUAGGAUGUGUUAAAGGGGAUGCUGAAAGAGGGAGUUAUUAAUGAUGGCAAUGAAAGCAGCAGAAGAAAAUCAAACAAAAGAGAACAAACAAGAGGACUGCAUAACCACAGCAUGUAUGCAAUCACCAUUAUACAAUUCAGUAAAAGUA
rnacentral:lncRNA from 1 species